AUGGCUUGGAGCAGCGGCAUGGCCGCCGUGCCCAUCCCCACCACCAUCUUCGUCUUCUUGCUGCUUCUUCCUCUCUGCGUCGUCCGCCAUGCGCGGGCGCAAGAACUUGACAGCGAGGAGGAGUUCAGCUACCGGAGCGGCCGGGACAACAGCCCGGACCGGUGGGGCCUCCUCCGGACGGACUGGGCGGCCUGCUACUGGGGCCGGAUGCAGUCCCCGAUCCGCGUCCCCGGCGACGGUCCGGUCACCGGCCCCCGGAACGGCCGCCUCGCCCGCACCUACCGCUACUCGCCGGCCACCCUGGUGAACCGCGGGCACGACAUCAUGGUGAGGUUCGACGGCAACGCGGGGUCCGUGGUGUUGGACGGCGUCUCGUACAGGCUCCGGCAGAUGCACUGGCACUCCCCCAGCGAGCACGCCCUGGACGGGCGCAGGUACGACCUGGAGCUGCACAUGCUCCACCAGAGCGACAAGGCGAGCAACAAGUACGCCGUCGUCGCGCAGCUCUUCCAGAUCGGGGAGCACCGCGACGAGACCCUGCACAUGCUGGAGCCGUACAUCGAGAGGAUCGCGGACAGGAGGCAGGGGCACGAGGAGGAGAUCGACUACGAGGUGGACCCGAGGAGGCCCGUGAGGGGGAGCGACACGUUCUACAGGUACACGGGCUCCUUCACCACGCCGCCGUGCACCGAGGGCAUCGCCUGGGCGGUCGCCACCAAGGUGCGGCAUGUGUCCCGUCACCAGGUGGAGCUGCUCAGAGACGCCGUCCACGACCAUGCCAGGAGGAACGCUCGGCCGCUCCAGGAGGCCAACGGCAGGGGCAUCGCCCUGUACUACGGCUGGCCUCGUUCCGGUGACGGGAAUUAA
rnacentral:rRNA from 1 species